ensembl:lncRNA
CCCGUCCUGCCUGUCCUCCCUGUCCUCUCAGUCCUCCCUGUCCUCCCAGUCCUCUCAGUCCUCCCCGUCCUCCCGAGUCACUAGUUGGUCACGUGACUCGUCGGUGUGGUGGAGAUGAUCACAUCCUCCUGUAGAGCAGUAAUCUGGGGUUAUGUGGGCAGCAGCGUUACGUAACCAACCGGCUUUUUAUCACCACGAUCUGAGCUGCUGUCAAAGCUCAAAACACAGAUUUUCAAGUCAAAUCACAGGAAGAUGGAGAGACGGAACGGAGGACUCCUUCUGUUGUGCACCGUUACAUAAGCAGCUUUGAUUAUUAUUAAUUAGCAUAAAGGGGAAUUAAGGAGGCGUCUGCUAUGAAUCUUUCUAUUCUACUGGAUCUCUGCUGCUCGUCUUGUAUUAAACCACCUUCUGCUAAUUAGUGAUUCACAGAAUUAAAAGAACCAUUACUGACAUGAGACGUCUUUUACUGUGAGUUAAAGUUAUAAAGACUUAUGUGAUUUAUUAAUGUGCACCUUUGAUACAAAAUUGUAAUAAAAAAAGAUAAAAUAAAUUGAGAUAUUGUUAUUAGUUUGACUUAUCAGUCACCUGACUCGUUAGUGUCGGUGGUCACGUGACUCGUUAGUGUCUGUAGUCACCUGACUCGUUAGUGUCGGUGGUCACGUGACUCGUUAGUGUCUGUAGUCACCUGACUCGUUAGUGUCUGUAGUCACGUGACUCGUUAGUGUCGGUAGUCACCUGACUCGUUAGUGUCGGUAGUCAUGUGACUCGUUAGUGUCGGUGGUCAGGUGAGUCGUUAGUGUCAGUAGUCAGGUGAGUCGUUAGUGUCGGUGGUCAGGUGAGUCGUUGUCAGUACAGAGUCGUGUGAGUCUCUUGAAUCCCUUUUGUCUGCAGAAGUGGACCAGAAGCUUUUCAGCCUUCAUGAGGCGAGUCCUCUGAAGCCGGAGGAUCCACAGCGAUGAAGAAGAAGAACCAGAAGAAGCUUUCAGAUCGGGUUUGGAUUCAUACACAUGAAGCCUCGUGGAGAUCUGAGGUGUGAGUCGGUACACUUUGAGGAAGAGAACCUGGUGUUGGUGGGAACUCUUAAUAGUCUCACGUGCUUCUGUAAUCGCUCUCCACACUGCAGCAGAGAAGCACGAGACUCAUUAAAUCCCUCCAGACCUCCUCAAACAUUCAUUCUGAAAGUCCUACCUGGAGGAGGCCAGAUGCUCGAGUAUCUCGAGUAAAGAUCAUACUAGCUAGUGAUUCAUGGUCUGUAAACCUGUGGAUUACUUUUUCCAUUAGCUGUUUAGUUUAUGAAAAUAAAACAAGUCCUCAAAUCUCUGGUUUGCUCACAACAAUCUGAUAAUAUUCAUAUUUAAGACAACUGGAGACUUUUUACUUUUUGCAUCAAACUGAUUCCUCAACUCAACGGUAGCCGAUAAUUAUACUUGAAUAAA